ACGUGCAAAAAUUCGUUGAGAUCAGAGCGAGGGAACGUAAAUCCUGAGUCUCGCUAAUCCCUCAGCGGCGGCCAUGUUUGAGAAGCGAAGCGGCGGGGAGAUAGCUGGCUGGUCUGGGCGAGGGAAGCGACCAUACCCCGGGCUGGUGGGACGCUAGGGAGGGGCAGGGAGAGGGGUCAGGACGUGAGGGGGUCGGAAUGUGAAGAUGAAGAUCGAAUAAUACCCAAAGUCGAUCGUAGCAGACCCCUGAUCAUGUACUGAGACGACAGGCCGGCGACGGGAGUUCCCAGCUAAGCCUCCUCCACUCGACGCAAUGACAGGAAGUUGACAGAAUAAACCAAUCACUGGCUGGACAAGAAGGCACGUGACUUCUCUCAGUCUCAAGAGAGCCUGUGAAGGGUAUGUAUGCCGCCUGAAACAAAAACAAUCCGAAUAUUAUAACCUGUAGAGAAGCGUUUUACAAUGAAACUAUACGUCCAUAUGACGUGCAUAGGUAUUUAAAGAGCGACAAAAUCGGCACUGUGUCCCAUUGUUGAAAAUUUUAUUACUCCUGGACAUGAGCAUGGUCAAAUGUUUGUCAAGACACAAGUAAUAAAUCCGCAAUAAAUAUCUAUGUCGGAUUGAUAUAUGUACUUCCAUACGAAUCAUGAAAUGUGCAAUAAAAUCUAUAGAUUUC